GUCAUCCUGAUGCUUAUCACAAGGCUGUGAUCUUGCACUGACUGAAUAGCAAAAGAAGGCAGACUUAGACCCUCAUAUAUACCUCAUCUCAGGCCUCAUGCUUUGUCCAUAUUGUGAAGGGGGGGACAUGG